AUGGUUCUGAUUUUAUGGUCGAAGUAUUUGAAGCCCAGAGAUUUACCGAAGGCUUUGACAAUGAGGGCGGAGCGGCAAGGAGAUCUGGUGCGUAGUUUUUCCUCUCUUGAUAGCAAGAUGGUAGGAAAGGAGUCAUCGUUGUCAAGUUCAAUGUCUAAGUGGGGUCUUCGUCGUCGAAGGGCAAGCUUUGGGUUGAGUGGUCUUCCAAGUCGAAGGAAGGGCGUAACACUGAGUCCUUGUAGGAUAGUAUGGGCCUUUGAGGCAUGAAGGAUUGGGAGGAAGCCUUCUAUUUUUUUUUGUGCUAUGGACAAGGUGACCAGCUUCUUUAGCGGAGAGGGUGACUUCUUCUGUGGACAUGUUUUUACUGAUUGGUGUCUAUUUAUGGAAAUCUUUUGUUGUAUAGGCGUCAGAGACUAAAGGUAAUUUGUUUACACUUGUUAUUAAAGUUUUAAAGGAGUCUAAGCAACAUUAUUUUAAUCCUAUGCCACAACAAAUUUUUGGCAGUAGAUUGUUGAAUAAUACUAGAAAUACAAAAUAUUUUACAAAAAGUUUUAUAAACUACUAAUGUGGUAAGUGAUUAUUAGUAAAUGAAAAAUUGAUAUUAAUGGUGGGCCUAAAUAAAAACCAAUAAAAGGUUUGCCACAUCAACAUUUUGUAAAAAUGUUGUAAAAUAGUUUGUAAUUGUAGCAUUACUCUAAAUUGUUAUAUAUAUAUAUAAAAGCAUAAGCUUUUUCUCGCAAUUAAGGAUGUAUUGCCACAUUAGGAAAAAAGCACACUUAAAAUUCUAACACGUAUAUAUAUUAAAAGAGAAAACUCAGCAAAUUCAUAGUUUUUUGCGCGUCUAAAAACUCAAACCCAAACGUUACACCGGUUUGGUAUUAACCGUUUACUUAUCACGGUUUCACAUAUAAUUAUCCUUCCAAUAUACAUUCUUAUUAAGCGAGAGUUUGGAUAGCAACAGAGGAGCGUUUCCAGCAUUUGUGUUUUUGGCUGGGUCCCUAGCACUAUUCACGAUCCAGCCAAAAACAAAAACGCACAUACCAAUGCAUUUUUGGGUCUCACGAUACUAUUCACACUAUUAAUAAUUAUUUUGCUACAGUAUUUUUAGCAAUAAGUUUUAAAUUUUUAGCAAAUAAGUGGUAUCCAUAUACACCAUAAAUCACUGUGUUUUUGAGGCAUCAAAAUAUUUGAUGCGAAAAUUACAUUAUUGUGAAAUUGUCAAUACCAAGGGGUCAAAGUACUUUGCGUUAAAAGAUGAAACUUAAGAGUGAAAGAAUGAGAAAUUGAGAAAUCACUGAGAGUCUAUAAACUACUGAUGUUUGGACUUAUUUAAGGCUACCGUGAAAGAAAGAGUUUUAUAUGAAAGCUGCCGCUACCAUCUGGGCACCAUUCAAUAAGGGUUUUUUUUUUUUUUUUUUUUUUUUUUUUUUUUAAAUUAAGGUUUUAAAUUAAAUUGGCUUGAGAGAGAGAGAGAGAUGAGGAAAAGAAGGGCAUGAUUGAAUUCUAGUAGGAGAAGAUGUGAAAAAGAUAGAGAAUUAUAGGAAAAGAAUUGAAAGGGUGGGUUUUCUUUAGCAACACAUGACACAGGCCACACCUAUGUUGUUUUGUUUCAAUCAAUUUGGGUUCUUUCCUUUUUAUUUACAAUCCUGUUCCUUUCACUUUAAAAAAAAAAAAAAAAAAAUUCUAUUUUCUAAUAUUUGAAUCUCUUGGCCUCCCUCUACCCCUCCUUCAAACCCUUUUUCUUUCCCUCUGCCCAAUAAUUGAUUAGAUGCACUUCAGCCCCCACACAAUAUGUCUUCGUCCUCAACAACUAUUGCCUUGAUUGUAAUUUUAUUUAUUUUACUUUUUUUUUUUUUAAAUCUUUUACGUUGCAACUUUCUACUCUAUAUGCUUUUAAGUGCCUAAAUUUUAGUGGGUUUGUAUUUGUGGGUGUUUUUCCUUUGGUUGCCUUUAGACUUUGGAAUUGAAAAUUUUGUGAUUUUUUGCAAUAAUCACUUUUUUUGCUAUAAUCUAUUUCACUUUCUAUAGUAUUGUUAACAUCUUUAAAAUACUUUGUUUUGAUAUUGCAGGGACAUUCUCACAACUUUGGAGAUUGGUACCUCUCUCGUGGUUCAUCAGAUAUGUACUGA
rnacentral:sRNA from 1 species